GCCUCCGUGGCCUAAUGGAUAAGGCGGGCCUCCUAAGCCGUUUGCGGGUUCGAAUCCCGUCGGAGGUG